rnacentral:rRNA from 1 species
CUUUACUGUAGCCUGGAAUUGGGUUCGGGCUUCUCUUGCGCAGUAUAGGUGGGAGGCACAGAAGUCAUCCUUGUGGGGAUGAUGGAGCCAUCGGUGAGAUACCACUCUAGAGAGGCUAGAAUUCUAAUGGCGUUCCUUGAAGCAGGACGCUUGACAGUUUCAGGUGGGCAGUUUGACUGGGGCGGUCACCUCCUAAAAGGUAACGGAGGUGUGCAAAGGUUCCCUCAGGCUGGACGGAAAUCAGCCGGAGAGUGUAAAGGCAGAAGGGAGCUUGACUGCAAGACCUACAAGUCGAGCAGGGGCGAAAGCCGGCCUUAGUGAUCCGACGGUUCCAUGUGGAAGGGCCGUCGCUCAACGGAUAAAAGUUA